GUGAAUCAUCGAAUCUUUGAACGCAAAUUGCACUCUCCGCGAAGAGUAGGCCUAUUUGAGGUUCAGCCUAUAAAAAAUCUACAUCGUUGCUUUUUCGCGGUGGCGUUGGUCGGAAAAUGGGUCAUCUUAAAUCUUUUGGUUUUAAGCGACUUGAGAUUUUCUUUUUGGUUCCAUGAACUUUUCUAAGAUUUAUUUCUUUACACGUUUAUGGGAUAGAUUUUUAUUAGACGUGUGAAUCAUAUCGA
rnacentral:misc_RNA from 1 species